GAUGAACGCUGGCGGCGUGCCUAAUACAUGCAAGUCGAGCGAACGGACGAGAAGCUUGCUUUUCUGAUGUUAGCGGCGGACGGGUGAGUAACACGUGGAUAACCUACCUAUCAGACUGGGAUAAUUUCGGGAAACCGGAGCUAAUACCGGAUAAUAUUUUGAACCGCAUGGUUCAAAAGUGAAAGACGGUCUUGCUGUCACUUAUAGAUGGAUCCGCGCUGCAUUAGUUAGUUGGUAAGGUAACGGCUUACCCAGGCAACGAUGCAUAGCCGACCUGAGAGGGUGGUCGGCCAGACUGGAACUGAGGCAGGGUCCAGACUCCUACGGGGAGCAGCAGUAGGGAAUCUUCCGCAAUGGGCGAAAGCCUGACGGAGCAACGCCGCGUGAGUGAUGAAGGUCUUCGGAUCGUAAAACGCUGUUGUUAGGGAAGAACAUAUGUGUAAGUAACUGUGCACAUCUUGACGGUACCUAGUCAGAAAGCCACGGCUAACUACGUG
rnacentral:rRNA from 1 species